rnacentral:rRNA from 1 species
UCGCAAGGCUGAAACUCAAAGGAAUUGGCGGGGGCCCGCACAAGCGGUGGAGCACGUGGUUUAAUUCGAUGAUAAGCGAAGAACCUUACCAGGACUUGACAUGUUUACCUAAGCCUAUGCGAAAGCAAUAGGUGGGGCUAAGCUUGCUUAGAACGGUAUUCACAGGUGCUGCAUGGCGUCGUCAGCUCGUGCCGUGAGGUGUCCGGUUAAGUCCGGUAACGAGCGCAACCCCUAUCUUUAGUUGCCAGCAUUUCGGAUGGGCACUUCUAAAGGGACUGCCGGUGACAAACCGGAGGAAGGUGGGGACGACGUCAAGUCAGCAUGGCCCUUACGUCCUGGGCUACACACAUGCUACAAUGGCUAGUACAAUGGGUUGCCAAAUCGCAAGAUGGAGCCAAUCCCAUCAAAGCUAGUCUCAGUUCGGAUUGCAGGCUGCAACUCGCCUGCAUGAAGCUGGAAUCGCUAGUAAUCGUGGAUCAGCACUGCCACGGUGAAUACGUUCCCGGGCCCUUGCACACACCGCCCGUCACACCACGAAAGUCGGUUCUACCCGAAGUGGCUGUGCUAACCUUACGGAAGCAGCUCCUAAGUAGCUGAUGG